rnacentral:rRNA from 1 species
GCACUUCGGUGCUAGUACAGCGGCGGACGGGUGAGUAAUGUGAAGGAAUCUACCUGGUAUUGGGGGACAACUUGUGGAAACGCCCCCUAAUACCGCAUACGCCCUAAGGGGGAAAGCGGGGGAUCUUCGGACCUCUCGCUAUUGGAUGAUCCUGCGUAAGAUUAGCUAGUUGGUGGGGUAAAAGCUCACCAAGGCGACGAUCUUUAGCUGGUCUGAGAGGAUGAUCAGCCACACUGGAACUGAGACACGGUCCAGACUCCUACGGGAGGCAGCAGUGGGGAAUAUUGCGCAAUGGGCUAAAGCCUGACGCAGCCAUGCCUCGUGUGUGAUGAAGGCCUUAGGGUUGUAUUGCACUUUCAAUUGGGAAGAUAGGUUGUACGUUAAUAGCUUGCAGCUGUGACUUUACCUUUAGAAGAAGCACCGGCUAAUUCCGUGUUAGCUUCCGCGUUAAUACGGAGGGUGCAAGCGUUUUUCGUAUUUACUGUGCGUAAAGCUCGCGUAUUCUGUUUUGUUAAGUUCGUGAUGUGAAAAGCCCUGGGCUCAUCCUGGGAACUGCAUUCGAUACUGGCCCAUUUUAGUGUGUAAGAGAGUGGAGGUAGAAUUUCCAUGUUGUAGCGGUGAAAAUUUUUAUAUAUGUGGAUGUAAUAUUGUUUGGCGAAUGUGCCUCCUUGG